rnacentral:rRNA from 1 species
GAGACCUACGGGGCGCAGCAGUAGGGAAUCUUCGGCAAUGGGGGCAACCCUGACCGAGCAACGCCGCGUGAGUGAAGAAGGUUUUCGGAUCGUAAAGCUCUGUUGUAAGAGAAGAACGUGUGUGAGAGUGGAAAGUUCACACAGUGACGGUAACUUACCAGAAAGGGACGGCUAACUACGUGCCAGCAGCCGCGGUAAUACGUAGGUCCCGAGCGUUAUCCGGAUUUAUUGGGCGUAAAGCGAGCGCAGGCGGGUGGAUAAAGCUGAAGGUAAAGGAUGUGGCUUAACCAUAGUAUGCUUUGGAA